rnacentral:rRNA from 1 species
GAUGAACGCUGGCGGCGUGCCUAAUACAUGCAAGUAGAACGCUGAAGGAAGGAGCUUGCUCUUUCCGGAUGAGUUGCGGACGGGUGAGUAACGCGUAGGUAACCUGCCUGGUAGCGGGGGAUAACUAUUGGAAACGAUAGCUAAUACCGCAUAACAGUAGAUGUUGCAUGAUGUCUACUUAAAAGGUGCAAUUGCACCACUAACAGAUGGACCUGCGUUGUAUUAGCUAGUUGGUGAGGUAACGGCUCACCAAGGCGACGAUACAUAGCCGACCUGAGAGGGGGAGCGGCAAAACUGGGACGGGGACACGGCCCAGCACCCUGCGGGUGGGAGCAGUAGGGGACUCUCGGCAAUGGAAGGAAGUCUGACCGAUGAACGCCGGGUGAGUGAAGAAGGUUGUCGGGUCGUGAAGGUGAGUUGGAAGUGAAGAACGAGUGUGAGAGUGGAAAGUGCACAUUGUGACGGUACCUGAACAGAAAGCGACGGCUAACUACGUG